rnacentral:lncRNA from 1 species
CCUCCUCUUCUUCAUCCUCAUUCAUUUUUCCUCCUCAUCCUCCUCCUCCUCUAAGCUAUCUAUGAGCCUUCUCCUUCCACGGCAGCCCCUUCUACCACCACCACUUCUUGUCGACAACCCAUCAUUCUCUUUUCUUUUCCUCCUCACCCUCUUCUUCUCCUUCUCAUCUAUAUCCUUUAAAGCUGCCAAUAAGCCUUCCCCCUCUAUGGUGGUUCACUUUAUCUUUAUCCAUUUCUUAU